UACUGAAAGAGAUUUGAAUGUGAUCAUUGAGAAAGUUUCGGUUGAGAAAGUUGUUUGUUUGUAGAAAUGUUUGCCUUUGAUGUUUGAUCACAGAGAGUUUUGUGGGUUUUGUGUGCAGCUUUGCGGUUCUUUUGAGGUUCAGAUGCUGGUUACCAAACAUGAGUUCACUUCAACAUUCACACAAUGACUCCAGACAGGCGGUUAAGAAGAGAGGGGUCAUGCAGCGAGACUGGUCCAAGGAGAUACCUGAUCACUUCCACACGGACGAGUCUGCUGCUCAGUCUAGCAGGACUGGUCUGAUCUGCUGGACCUGGAUUGAAGAAAAAGCCUUUGAAGAUGUGCACUUGAUGUUUCCUCUUCCUUUCAGGUCUUUGAUUUGAUGAAAGAUGAAAAAAAGCCUGAAUUACAGUAUCACUUUCCCUCAAAACUAUACCUUUAGACUAGAAUCUGAUAGAAAUCUGUCUGUCGUCUUCUUUUGAAUUUUCAUAAACAAACCCCCAAGAAACAACCACAGCAGAACCUCCAGCUGAUCUCCCUUCCUGACCUGCAGCUUCCCAUCAGAUCCCCUGCAGACCCCCGCUGAGUGUAAUAUCCCGACCCGAUUACGCACCUGAAGAGCGUGAAAAUCACGUCUCACGUCUCCUUCUGGACCACACCUUCUAGACUGGAGCAGAGAACUCAGUGUUCAGACUCAUCCUGAACUUUCAGUUUAAACCCCUGGAUCAAACUCCAGACAAUAAAAAGACUGAAAUGCAGACAUCACCGAAUCGAACAUCAGACCAAAGUGUUGCUUGUUGGAGCAACUGGAUCUUCUCAGCAUGAUCUUCACAUUCAUCUCUAGGAACAUGGAACACUCAGAUGAAGUUAUGACCGACCUCCCUAACAAAUCCUCAGACCAGAGUCAGAGCUCACACAUCUUCUCCCUGCGGAGAUCGCGUUUGAGAACGACGUCUGGGAAAACAUGCAACACGGAUCGACAUUUUUACUACGAUUUCGCCGAAUUUCAUCACGACAUGAGACAAUACAUUCAUAAAAACAUCCAUCAGUUCCAUUCCAGCAGCUAUAAAUCAUCAUAAAGUCUUUUACUGAGCCCAAAAGCUCUGAGUUCAUUCGUGCACAGUGAAAUAUCCUUCAUCCUGGAUGGAAACUCUGAUCUGCUCCUGAGGUUCAACCACCAGGAUCAUGAUGAAAUGUUCAUGUGAUGUAGAGAAACAUAUUCUAAUCAACUUAAUCCAGCGUGUGUUUUUAAUCAAACGUAUUAAUCCAACAAACUGACCUAAUAAUCAGUAAAGAAGCUGUUAGAUACAGUAGAAGUAGCUGAUUAAACCUAUUUAUCUGAUAAUCUCAUGUGAUCUUUUUACUCCAAGUAUAAUAAUAAUAAUAAUAAUAAUGAGAUAGGAAUAGAGUGGAGUCUGACUGGUGAUGUGAGUGUGUAGGAGAGACAGAACAACAACGAACAAGGCAGACUUAAACGUGUUUAUUGGGAAAAAUAAAUCAGGGUCAGAAUCAGGUGAAGUUAUGGGAGGAUCAUAAUAAUCAGGAGAAGUAGGAGACCAACAUGAAGGCUAAGGAGGAGACGGUAGAGUUGAUGUAGGAAUGCAGGAGUCGUCAUCAAAGUCCUCAUUAGAGGUUUGUUUCUUCUGAAGAUAAACAGCAGGGAGGUCAGACGAGGUCUGUGUGCCCAUAUCACGUGUAAAAGCACGAUACGAGGAGGCAGACAGGGGUUCUCUGGAACAGCUGGAGUAGAGAGAGAAAUCGAGCGACCUCAGUGACGAGGCAGAAGAACUGAAACUGACGAUACUGUCUGUGGAGAACGCUCUUAAGACCUGUCCCAGAACGUCUGUGAGAUGGAGCUGAAUAAAGGAAACCAACAGAGAUACGAUGUAAAAGAGUGAACUGAAAAAAAUAAGGGGAAUUUGCCAAGAAAAAGAAAUUAGAAAAAGGUUCCAGGUGACUUCAGGGUAUAAGUGUGUGUGUGUGUGUGUGUGUGUGUGUGUGUGUGUGUGCUGGAUCAUUUUGAUGUGAUCACCUUCUAUGGGCUCAUUAGAACAAGACUGCAAUAAAGAAGUUUUUGCUUUUA